rnacentral:lncRNA from 1 species
UGGUCGUGCAAGUUUUUCUAUUUUGUACUUUUUCUUUUGAUAUUAAUAAUUAUUAUUUUUAACGGCACAUUUUUUAUCAUAAAUAAUUUUGAAAUUGGUCUAAUUCAUCCUUUGAUCAUUUAACUGAAAAAUCGAUCAAAAUCAUUUUUAGAUUUAACUACCGUAUAUCAAUGUAGUCUCUCAUCAAAUUCAUUAAAUUUUCUAGAAGAAUGCUGGCCUACCAUACAAGAACCACACAUAACUAAUAAUUUUGUGUCACAUAGAGAGUAUAAAAAACACUCUUGAAAAUUAAAAAAAAACUAGAAACCAAAUAAGAAAUUAACAACCUUCCCUCCAAAUACUAGUUUUCUCCUUUACAUUUAGCAUGCAAUGACUGGUUGGGUGAUGUGACAGCCCGUCCCUAAUUUUAAGAAUUUUUAAAGUUUUCAUAAAGGAUUUUACAAAAAUGCCCUUUGAAGGUACGUGCAUUAUUCGAGGUUAAUCACCAUGUCGUGCCAUCUAAGAUUUGUUUUCUUGAUAUAUCCCCGUAGUACUCGUCGUUACGGACGCGUGGGCGCAGACGGUUCGUGAUUUGGAGUUAUAUCGAGGAAGUUAUUAAAGUUUGAAGUUGGGAUUUUAAGGAAUUAUAAUUUUAGUAAAAUAUAGAAAUUCUUUUAUGAAAAUGGACGGCCCAGAUUUAAUGAUGAAUGAAAUGGAUGGUUGGGAUGAGAGAAAGUUUUGUGUGUGUGUAUGCGUGAGAAGAAAACAGAAAAGAAGAGGGAUUGAGCAAAGCUGCCCAAUCGGAGAAGAAGGAGGAGAGACCGAAUGGGGAGAAGAGAGAGGGAGAAGCUGACCAACUAGAGGAAGGAAAGGAGGAAAGGAGAGAGGGCGAGAAGCGGAGGAGAGAAGGAAGAAAUGGGUUUUCCCCAACCCGUAUAUACCCGCGCGACCCGCGACUUCCAAUCGGCGGGUUUUCGCCAUUUUCGUCCAAUUUUCCGACGAAUUGAAUCAGGGUACCACUCCUAAUCAUCAUCUAGGCCUUCCCUCUUCACGUUUCACCCCAAGAAUCAUUGAAUUUCGUUGUGAUUUCGCGAAGAACACCCCUACGGGUGCCGCGACCCUUUUGUUUAAAUUCUCCAAAUUUUGAAAUGUUUUUCUUUCAAUUACUAACACACCAUUAGCAUUCCCUUAGGACCUAAAACAAAGCCCAAGAGGUAAUUGAGGCGUUGGAACAAGUUUGAAGGUCGAAUUGGAAACACCCAAUUCUAGGGUUCUUCACGGUUUUUGGUGAAAUUGAAGCACUUCCAGGCCAAAUUGGCCUUGGCCUCAGGUAUGAAAGUUGUUCUACUCAUUGAGAUCUUCAAAUCUGCAAAUUUUAGUAAUUUUUGGAAAUAGUUGAAUUUUCCGGCGAGCCGGGGCGGCCAACCGCCACCCGCGGCGGCCCGCGCGGCGGUGCGUGGCCAAUGGCCCGCCAAUGUCAUUAUUAGCUUGUGAUUAAGGUUCUAGGUUCUGUUUUGAUAAUUGAUGGACGUAAAUUGAAUAAUUGAACCUAAGUUGGUUACGAUUCGUGGUUAGGUAAAAAUGUGAAUUGACGAUCCGACCGUUGGAUCGUCACCAAACUUUGAUACUUUGUAAUACGUAAUAUUUGAGGAUUAUAGGAAUUUACGGAUUGAGAAUCCGAUUUACGGAUCUUCCGGAAUUGAAGUUGUAAGUUCAUAAAAUAGAAUGUUAACAGUCACUUAGUUUUGGAAAUUGACGGAGAUCCGACCGUUGGAUGGUAAUGAAAUUUUAGGAUGUUGUCCUAGAGGUAUAUUGUGGACCUCUGGAAGUUACGGAUUUGAAAUCUGAGUUGCAGAUCAUCCGGAUCGAAUUACGUAGUGACGUGUCUUAUAUAAGUUAUGUAUUCUAUCGGCAGGAUUUCUGAGGUUGGGUUUGAUUAUUGUUCUAGGCGCUAAUCUUCAUGACGCCUUGAUGUGUGGUGCUAGGGAGUUGUUGGGCGAACUCCAGGUGAGUGGGCAGUUUUGUUUUCGUAUUACCUAUAUACUAUUGUUUUUCCCAGAAAAAUGCUUUUAUGAGAAAUUAUGUUUUGAAAAUGCCAUGCAUAGAAUUAUUUGGAAAAUGUGAAUUUCAUAUGAGUUAUAUGAUUGAUAUAUGAUGCAUACAUGUUGCAUGGUGCUGUGGAGACACAGGUAAGUCAGGUGAGUUCAUUUAUUCAUUGAAUUGUUGUUGAGAUGUUUGAGCUCAUAACCUGCACCCUAGGUGUUAGUGCUUAUUUUAUUCACCACACCGCACGCUCGCCUUGGAUCCAAGUAGGUGGAUGUCGUACAGACCAUGUGAGGGUUCCGACAUGCCAGUCGUACAGACCAUUAGAGGGGUUCCGACUGGUGGGUGACCUUAGAUAUGCGCGCUGAUGAUAUGAUGAGAGAAGCACUAGAGCGUAUUUUUACACCUAUCAUCGUAUAGACUACCUUACGUAGUUCCGAGUGAUGUGCAGAGUAGGGCCGUAUAGGUCACUGUGGUGACUCCGGCUUAGUGAGAUAUUGAGCUAUUGAAUUAAUCGUAUAGGACCAACUGCAGGGUCUCCGAUUGAUUCCUUAUUUCACCUGAUUUAUAUUUUGAUUUAUGGCAUGACAUGUUUUUCUUGAAAAAUGUUAAAGAUUUGGAAUUCAAGUUUUGAGAUUUCAUAUGGUUUUAUAUAUAUAUAUAUAUAUAUUUUUUUUUUUCUGAAAAGUGUUAAAGGUUUGAGAUUUGAGAUUUUUGCUUAUAUAUAUGUUUAUAUAUAUGCUAUUUUCUGGGAAAGUAUACAGGUUUUACGGUGAGGGGUUAGAAAUGUUUUAAAUGAAAAGUUUUCGAAAAACUUUGUUUUACUGACCCACUCAAUUUUGUUUUGCGCCCCUCCAGGUUCAAGUUAGCAGAGCUUUGGUGGCCACGAGGAAUCCAACGGUGUUCUGACAUAAUUCACAAAAGUAGGACUCACCCUCGGAUGUGUUAUCUUAGUAAUUGGAAAUUUUUUUAAAGCUUCCGAACUGUGUAAAUGGUUACGUCACUCUCACGUGACGGCCAGCACGCCCUCCUUCGGGACGGGGUGUGUCAGUUGGUAUCAGAGCCUAGGUUGCAAUUCUGGACAUCUUGAGAAUUUCCUAGUGUUUUCUGUCAGAACUAUACCGCCUCGUAGCGAGCCACGUAGUUCGGAUGAGCCUAAAUUCCCUGAUAUAGUAGUUUGGGGGGGAACUAUUGCCAUUGUGAUUCAGUCUAUUAUCUAAAGGAACCUUGAGACUGGUUAUAAGUUAAAUUUGAAUACAGACUUGCCUUGUUUCCAUUCGGAUGUUGUUACUAAUCCGGUCGAGGUGUUAUGUCGUUUUUGGCUGGAUAAUAAGAAGAAGUGACGUUCUUUGGCGACCACAAUCCAUUGUACUUUUUACCAAGAGUUUACGAGAUGUUGUUGGGCUUUAAAGACUUUGAGAAUAUGAUCAGCGAGAGUAAAGAGGAAUAAGAAAGGAAUGAGAAUCAGAAUAAGACGAUAAAGUUAAAGAUUCGUCAUAUCAAAAGACCUCGGAGGACUCAGAGCUUCAAAGGAAGUGAAAUUAGAGCUAAUUUUCCCAGCUUAGGUUUUACUGCCACUGGUCAGAGGCGAAGUGAUAGAUUUACUAGUGAUCCCAGAUUUUUGAGACAAGAUGACUCUGGUAGAGGAAAUGUAUAUUUGUGCCAUAGGUAUAAUAUUAGACACUUUGGAGAGUGUGGGAAUCAGUGAAUGUGUUCAUGUGGACGGAUGGGACAUAGAGGUAUGAAUUGUCCCUGAGAUCAGUUGUUACCCAACAGUCUUCCUUAACAUAUCACUUGGAAAAUUGACGGGUAAGUCGUACAGGUCACUAUAUGUGACUUCGACUUAUGAGCUAGCAUGGAUAGUCAAGUUGUAGACUCAGUCGCACAGGUCAUUCUAGCUGACUCCAACUGAUAUAUUUCUUAUUAUGGAUGAUGUUGCCAAAGAAAGUAAUGUUGGAGCACGAUCGAGGCGUAUUUAUGUAUUUCUAAGGAAGAACAAGAUAAUAUUACACAUUCAGGAAUUGUUACUUACUUAUCGAGACAACAUUGGGUUAUUUGUAUUGCGGGCUGCAUACCGUAAUAUUUAUAACUUAUUUGUUGGAUUCGUUAAGCAAGUAAACACGUAGGUCAUCCUACGUUAGUAUGGUGCUAUUUAGGGUGUCCGGUGAUGGUGAAAAAUGUCAUGUCGGUGAAUUUUAUUCCGUUGGAUAUUGUGGAUUUUGAGGUGAUUUUUGGCACAAAGUGGGUGCAGAAUAAAUUUGCCAAGCUAGAUUGCUAUGGCGAAUCAGUUAAUUUUUGUCGACCUGGAUGACCAUAGGUUACUUUUGGGGGUAAGUAAAGUGGAGUGAGUCAUGCCAUUAUUCAUGUUGAGAGAGCAAAGAAGAUUGUUAUCAAAAGGCUGCCAAGAUAUUUAGUUCAUAUGGUGCUAAAUGAUGUUGAUCCUAAUAGUAUGGAAGAUGUAAAGAUGGUUAGACAUUUUCCUGGUGUAUUUCCAAAUGACUUACCUAGAUUACCGCCAGGCAGAGAUGUGGGUUCCAUUAUUGAAUUGUUUUUAGGUACAAAUCCUAUGUUAGAGAUUGGUUCAGGUUGAGUUAAAAGUUCCAUUCAACUUAUUAUAUCACAUUGGAAAAGCUUCGGUUUAUUUGUGAGGAAGAAAGUGGACAUUAAGGCUAGGCAUUGAUAUUAGGUAAUUGAAUCGGGUAACGAUUGAGAGCUGUUAUCCAUUGUUGUGUAUUGAUGAUUAUUUGAUCAGCUCUGAGGCGCCUGGGUACUUUCUGAGAUUGACUAGAGGUCUGAAUGAUAUUAGUUGAAGAUUAACAGUGAGGAUGUUCAUAAGACUGAAUCCAGGACUCGUUAUGGUCAUUUCAAGUUAGGAUGCCAUACGGAGUGACGAAUGCACCUGCUACUUUUAUGAGUUUGCUGAAGGAAGUAUUCCAGUGAUAUCUGGACCGGGUUGUUAUUGUUUGCCAUUGACGAGAUUGAUAAGAUUAGAGCAGUGCAUGCUAGAUAUUUAAAGUUGGUGUUGCAAAGAUUGAGGGAACGUUGAUGUAUGCUAAGUUUAGCAAAUGCUAAUGUUGGAUAAAUUAAUUAUAUCUACUUAAGGUAUUCAAAUGGAUUCUUAAAAGAGUAGCAACGAUUGAGAAUUUGGAACAAUUGCGAACUGUGACUGAGGUUCAGAGUUUUCUCGGAUUAGCAGGAUAUUGUCGAUAGUUCGUCCAAGAUUUUAAUUAUUGCUUCGCCCUUGGCGAGAUUGAUGAGAAAAGAGGUUAAGUUUGAGUGGGAUGAAAAAUUAUAAGUAGAGCUUCAGCAAGUAAAGUAUUCCCUCACUCAUGCAUCUGUUUUCACACUCCCAGACGAUAGUGGUAAUUAUGUGGUCUAUAGUAAUACUUCUUUGAAUGUUCUUGAAUGCGCGUUGAUGCAGCAUGGUAGGAUGAUUGCCUAUGCUUCAUGGCCAUUGGGAUCUCAUAAGAUGAAUUACCCUACGUGUGAUUUGGAAUUGGCGGCUAUCAUUCUUACUUUGAAGUUAUGGAGACAUUAUAUUAUUGGUGAGAAAUGCAAGAUUUUAAUGAAUCAUAAGAGUCUCCAAUAUAUGUUUACGCUGAGAGAUAUUAAUCUUAGGCAACAAAGGUGGAUUGAGUUGCUUAGUGAUUAUGAUUGUGCGACUAGGGUGGUCGAGCUAAUAUUGUGGCUGAUGCAUUUAGUAGGAAGACCCCAGUGAGAAUUAAUGCUUGGUACGCUUGCUAUGUUCAUCUUCUUCUUGUGGAUUUGAAAUCUACUGGAGUAAAGUUGGGUAUCGAAAAAUCGAGAAGAAGCCUUAUUUGCUAAUUUCCAAGUUGGACCCAUUUGGUAGAUCGUACUCGAGACUCAAGCGUUUGACGAAGAAAUUCAAGAAUUUAUUUAAAGCAAGGAAUAACGGGAAAAAGAAAGACCUUAGAGUUAGAGAAUCAGAUGACAAGCUUAUGCAAGGGAACAAAGUGUUUAUGCCUAAUGGUGUGGAAUUAAAGAAAGCAAUUUUGACGAUGUACAUUAUUCCACUUCUACAAUGCAUCCCGAAAGUACUAAGAUUUAUCAUACCAUUCGUUCAUGUACUAUUGACGGGUAUGAAAAGAGGAAUGGCGAAGUAUGUUAGUAGGCGUAUCAUCAGUCAUCAGGUUAAAGCAGAAAGAAAUAAGUCUUUUGGAAUAAUGUAGUCAUUUCCCAUUCCACGGCGGAAAUGGGAGAAUAUUACUAUGGAUUUCGUGGACAAGCUUCCUCGUAUACAAAAUAGUUAGGUUGGAAUUUGAAUAAUAAUUGAUCGACUUGUGACGUCAGCGUAUGUUACUUCAGUAUGAGAACAUCAACCUUUCCAGAUAAGCGCAACAGUUAUUUAUUUGUUUUAUGGAAAAAGGAGAUUGGGAUCUGUUAAACUUCUUGGGUAUGUUGGUCCCUUCAGUUUGUUCCCUAGAGUAACGCCAUAAGGCCGUGGAAAGCUAUGUCUUGUGUUUUCGAAAUUGUUAGAAUUGGGGACGGAUGAUAUUCAAGACUCUGAGUUUGGUGAAAAUUUAUGGAGGAAUCUUUCAGUGGAAGAAACUACUUGAAAGUCAGAGAAUCGAAUGAGAGAGAGAGUUGUGUUUCGGGCUGUUUUAUGGAUAUUGCUGGAUUGUAAAGAUUGUGUAAAUUUCGGGGACGAAAUUUCUUUAAGGUGGGUAGAUUGUGACAGCCCGUCCCUAAUUUUAAGAAUUUUUAAAGUUUUCAUAAAGGAUUUUACAAAAAAUGCCCUUUGAAGGUACGUGCAUUAUUCGAGGUUAAUCACCAUGUCGUGCCAUCUAAGAUUUGUUUUCUUGACAUAUCCCCGUAGUACUCGUCGUUACGGACGCGUGGGCGCAGACGGUUCGUGAUUUGGAGUUAUAUCGAAGAAGUUAUUAAAGUUUGAAGUUGGGAUUUUAAGGAAUUAUAAUUUUAGUAAAAUAUAGAAAUUCUUUUAUGAAAAUGGACGGCCCAGAUUUAAUGAUGAAUGAAAUGGAUGGUUGGGAUGAGAGAAAGUUUUGUGUGUGUGUGUGUGCGUGAGAAGAAAACAGAAAAGAGAGAGGGAUUGGGCAAAGCUGCCCAAUCGGAGAAGAAGGAGGAGAGACCGAAUGGGGAGAAGAGAGAGGGAGAAGCUGACCAACUAGAGGAAGGAAAGGAGGAAAGGAGAGAGGGCGAGAAGCGGAGGAGAGAAGGAAGAAAUGGGUUUUUCCCCAACCCGUAUACCCGCGCGACCCGCGACUUCCAAUCGGCGGGUUUUCGCCAUUUUCGUCCAAUUUUCCGACGAAUUGAAUCAAGGGUACCACUCCUAAUCAUCAUCUAGGCCUUCCCUCUUCACGUUUCACCCCAAGAAUCAUUGAAUUUCGUUGUGAUUUCGCGAAGAACACCCCUACGGGUGCCGCGACCCUUUUGUUUAAAUUCUCCAAAUUUUGAAAUGUUUUCUUUCAAUUACUAACACCAUUAGCAUUCCCUUAGGACCUAAAACAAAGCCCAAGAGGUAAUUGAGGCGUUGGAACAAGUUUGAAGGUCGAAUUGGAAACACCCAAUUCUAGGGUUCUUCACGGUUUUGGUGAAAUUGAAGCACUUCCAGGCCAAAUUGGCCUUGGCCUCAGGUAUGAAAGUUGUUCUACUCAUUGAGAUCUUCAAAUCUGCAAAUUUUAGUAAUUUUUGGAAAUAGUUGAAUUUUCCGGCGAGCCGGGGCGGCCAACCGCCACCCGCGGCGGCCCGCGCGGCGGUGCGUGGCCAAUGGCCCGCCAAUGUCAUUAUUAGCUUGUGAUUAAGGUUCUAGGUUCUGUUUUGAUAAUUGAUGGACGUAAAUUGAAUAAUUGAACCUAAGUUGGUUACGAUUCGUGGUUAGGUAAAAAUGUGAAUUGACGAUCCGACCGUUGGAUCGUCACCAAACUUUGAUACGUUGUAAUACGUAAUAUUUGAGGAUUAUAGGAACUUACGGAUUGAGAAUCCGAUUUACGGAUCUUCCGGAAUUGAAGUUGUAAGUUCAUAAAAUAGAAUGUUAACCGUCACUUAGUUUUGGAAAUUGACGGAGAUCCGACCGUUGGAUGGUAAUGAAAUUUUAGGAUGUUGUCCUAGAGGUAUAUUGUGGACCUCUGGAAGUUACGGAUUUGAAAUCUGAGUUGCAGAUCAUCCGGAUCGAAUUACGUAGUGACGUGUCUUAUAUAAGUUAUGUAUUCUAUCGGCAGGAUUUCUGAGGUUGGGUUUGAUUAUUGUUCUAGGCGCUAAUCUUCAUGAUGCCUUGAUGUGUGGUGCUAGGGAGUUGUUGGGCGAACUCCAGGUGAGUGGGCAGUUUUGUUUUGUAUUACCUUAUAUACUAUUGAUUUUUCCCAGAAAAUGAAUUUUAUGAAAAUUAUGUUUUAAAAAUGCCAUGCAUAGAAUUAUUUGGAAAAUGUGAAUUUCAUAUGAGUUAUAUGAUUGAUAUAUGAUGCAUACAUGUUGCAUGGUGCUGUGGAGGCACAGGUAAGUCAGGUGAGUUCAUUUAUUCAUUGAAUUGUUGUUGAGAUGUUUUGAGCUCAUAACCUGCACCCUAGGUGUUAGUGCUUAUUUUAUUCACCACACCGCACGCUCGCCUUGGAUCCAAGUAGGUGGAUGUCGUACAGACCAUGUGAGGGUUCCGACAUGCCAGUCGUACAGACCAUUAGAGGGGUUCCGACUGGUGGGUGACCUUAGAUAUGCGCGCUGAUGAUAUGAUGAGAGAAGCACUAGAGCGUAUUUUACACCUUUCAUCGUAUAGACUACCUUACGUAGUUCCGAGUGAUGUGCAGAGUAGGGCCGUAUAGGUCACUGUGGUGACUCCGGCUUAGUGAGAUAUUGAGCUAUUGAAUUAAUCGUAUAGGACCAACUGCAGGGUCUCUCCGAUUGAUUCCUUAUUUCACCUGAUUUAUAUUUUGAUUUAUGGCAUGGACAUGUUUUUCUUGAAAAAUGUUAAAGAUUUGGAAUUCAAGUUUUGAGAUUUCAUAUGGUUUUAUAUAUAUAUAUAUAUAUAUAUAUAUAUUUUUCUGAAAAGUGUUAAAGGUUUGAGAUUUGAGAUUUUUGCUUAUAUAUAUGUUUAUAUAUAUGCUAUUUUCUGGGAAAGUAUACAGGUUUUACGGUGAGGGGUUAGAAAUGUUUUAAAUGAAAAGUUUUCGAAAAACUUUGUUUUACUGACCCACUCAAUUUUGUUUUGCGCCCCUCCAGGUUCAAGUUAGCAGAGCUUUGGUGGCCACGAGGAAUCCAACGGUGUUCUGACAUAAUUCACAAAAGUAGGACUCACCCUCGGGUGUGUUAUCUUAGUAAUUGGAAAUUUUUUUAAAGCUUCCGAACUGUGUAAAUGGUUACGUCACUCUCACGUGACGGCCAGCACGCCCUCCUUCGGGACGGGGUGUGUCAGGUGAAAUGGCAGAUAAAUUGCAGAGAGGCAAACAAUCGUUUCACUGUUUGAUUUCUCUUCAAAAAAAGCUCAUUGCCAUUAAGGAAUAUAGUCUUCGUCUAUUUGUUUGAUUAGUUCAAUGACCAAAUGUUGUUUAAUUUGCUUAAUUUUUUUACAAGGGUGAUCAUUUAGACAUUGCAGAGUGGGUCCAAAUGAACGGUUAAAGUCUCAUUAACCUACUGGUCAGUUAGUUUUUAAUUUGAACGACACACCGCAGACUCGAAAUCGAUAAAAAUUCAUAAAUAUAAAGUGUGAGUUAAUUAAUAAUUAAAAGGAAACUAAAAUAGGGUCAAAUUAAUCUCUCUUAUAAAAAGAACUUUUUAAAAAAUAUAUAUAUUAUUAUAAGAUGAGAGGAGAGAGUUCAAACUAUUACAAUAAUUUGGAGAAAAGACACUUUCAAACCAAAACCGCAUAGGUAAAAACACAACACUCUAUCAACUAAGCUAAAUAAAUAAUUUGAUCUCAUCCCACCUAUCAUUUUGAUUGUCUAGUUCAUAAACCUGCAAAAAAUAUGGAGUGGUGAACUUUAACAACUCAAUAUGGACAUACCUUAUAAAAAAGACUCAAUAUAUACAUGAACAUUAAUUGAUAAAACUAAAUUAAAUGUCAUGUAACACGUAAUUCAACUAUAACAUGUUAUCAAUAAUCAACUAUAUGGGUUAUAUUUCAUAAUGCAACUAAUUAACUUCAAUUACUCAACCCGUUAAUCUAUAUAAUAGAACAAGUAGACAUGCAUUUUCCAUACCAUGCAUUUGACCACUGCAAUGGUUGUGUGAAAGCUCUAUUAUAUAAACCAACACUUGUAAGUCAAUCAUUCCAAUUUUUUUCUCUUGUUAGUCAUCUUUCCUCAACUCCUUGUACCCAACUCCAAAAUACCCAAUAAAAAUCAUGUGCACUUUAGGCUAACUUGAGACCUGGUACAUAACAAAAGUUAAACUCAACUACACAAAAGAUUCUUUCAAAUUAUCUCAACUUCAUAAUUUCGAACUAUUAUCUCAACUCCAUAAUUCCGAACAACUAUCUCAAAUGAGUGAUUCACAAAUUUGUCUCAUUUAUUUUUAUCUUUAACAUAUAUCACAAUAUAUUCUCAAUGAAUAACAUUCUA